GAUGAACGCUGGCGGCGUGCCUAAUACAUGCAAGUCGAGCGAACAGAUAAGGAGCUUGCUCCUUUGACGUUAGCGGCGGACGGGUGAGUAACACGUGGGUAACCUACCUAUAAGACUGGUAUAACUCCGGGAAACCGGGGCUAAUGCCGGAUAACAUUUAGAACCGCAUGGUUCUAAAGUGAAAGAUGGUUUUGCUAUCACUUAUAGAUGGAUCCGCGCCGUAUUAGCUAGUUGGUAAGGUAACGGCUUACCAAGGCAACGAUACGUAGCCGACCUGAGAGGGUGAUCGGCCACACUGGAAGUGAGACACGGUCCAGAGUCCUACGGGAGGCAGCAGUAGGGAAUCUUCCGCAAUGGGCGAAAGCAUGACGGAGCAACGCCGAGUGAGUGAUGAAGGUCUUCGGAUCGUAAAACUCUGUUAUUAGGGAAGAACAAAUGUGUAAGUAACUGUGCACGGAUUGACGGUACCUAAUCAGAAAGCCACGGCUAACUACGUG
rnacentral:rRNA from 1 species